rnacentral:lncRNA from 1 species
CUAGAAACGGCCCUGCAGAUAUGCUUUUGAUAUACGGCAGAGUACAGCCGUGGCUCGGUACAGACCAAGAGGGAACCAUGUGUGUGUGUGUGUGUGUGUCCUCGUUCAGACAUCUGACAGAGGAGCUUCCAUCCGGCGCGAUCAUUCACCUUGAUCGGCUGUUACCGUGGCAACCCCAAAUGCCGUCGGCUGUAGGUUAGUCGUGACGGGGUCGGUUGCCUCUGGUUACAGUUGCGUCUGUUAACAACACCGCCGUGGUUACCCGUAGUUACGGAUGAUUUGUAAUUUGGCCGGUGCCGCAUACAUAUAUAUAUAUAUAUAUAUAUCGUCCUGGUUGUAGCAGGGUUGUCAUGGAGAUACCUAGUCAGUUGUUAUGGUUGUCAUGGAGAUAGAGUAUGGAACCUCGGCUGUGAGGUUAGACUUUCACAUGGAGGGACAGGAGGAUACCUGGUCAGUUGUCAUGGAGAUAAUAAUGGGAACGGAGGAUACCUCGUCAGUUGUCAUGGAGAUACGGUAUUAUGGAACCUCGGCUAUGAGGUUAGACUUUCACAUGGAGGGACAGGAGGAUACCUAGUCAGUUGUCAUGGAGAUAAUAAUGGUGAAAGGAGGAUACCAAGUCAGUUGUCAUGGAGAUAAUAAUGGGAAAGGAGGAUACCUAGUCAGUUGUCAUGGAGAUAAUAAUGGGAAAGGAGGAUACCAAGUCAGUUGUCAUGGAGAUAAUAAUGGGAAAGGAGGGAUACCAAGUCAGUUGUCAUGGAGAUAAUAAUGGGAAAAGGGGGAUACCUAGUCAGUUGUCAUGGAGAUAAUAAUGGGAAAGGAGGGAUACCUAGUCAGUUGUCAUGGAGAUAAUAAUGGGAAAGGAGGGAUACCUAGUCAGUUGUACAACUGAAUGAUGCAUUCAACUGAAAUAAGUCUUCCGCAUUUAACCCCCAACCCUUCUGAAUCAGCUUUAGCGUUUCGAGGGGGGGCUUUGGUCUGUUUUCCCUGAAGCUGGAGAGCCAGAGUUGGGGUUUUUACAGAGCUAGCCAGACUGACUACUAACUAGGGUUGAAACAUUUUCCGGGAAACUUUUCCUUAAUUCCCUGGUUGGAGGAUUCCCGAAUGUCCAGCUAAUUCCCGCCGUAAUUCCAGGGUUAGAAGUAUCCAGGAUUUCUGGAAAACCAGGGAAUUUUUGGGGGAAGUUACCCGGAAUUUUGCAACCUUAAGAAAAACACAUGGAGAAGGUUUAUUAAUGGGCAGUUAUAGAGGACAGGAGGUUUAUUAACGGGCAGUUAUAGAGGACAGGAGGUUUAUUAACGGGCAGUUAUAGAGGACAGGAGGUUUAUUAAUGGGCAGUUAUAGAGGACAGGAGGUUUAUUAAUGGGCAGUUAUAGAGGACAGGAGGUUUAAUAAUGGGCAGUUAUAGAGGACAGGAGGUUUAUUAAUGGGCAGUUAUAGAGGACAGGAAGUUUAAUAAUGGGCAGUUAUAGAGGACAGGAGGUUUAUUAAUGGGCAGUUAUAGAGGACAGGAGGUUUAAUAAUGGGCAGUUAUAGAGGACAGGAGGUUUAUUAAUGGGCAGUUAUAGAGGACAGGAGGUUUAUUAAUGGGCAGUUAUAGAGGACAGGAGGUUUAUUAAUGGGCAGUAGUAUAGGACAGGGGGUUUAUUAACGGGCAGUUAUAGAGGACAGGAGGUUAUAGAGGACAGGAGGUUUAAUAACGGGCAGUUAUAGAGGACAGGAGGUUUAUUAAUGGGCAGUUAUAGAGGACAGGAGGUUUAUUAAUGGGCAGUAGUAUAGAGGACAGGAGGUUUAAUAAUGGGCAGUUAUAGAGGACAGGAGGUUUAAUAAUGGGCAGUUAUAGAGGACAGGAGGUUUAUUAAUGGGCAGUUAUAGAGGACAGGAGGUUUAUUAAUGGGCAGUAGUAUAGAGGACAGGAGGUUUAUUAAUGGGCAGUUAUAGAGGACAGGAGGUUUAUUAAUGGGCAGUUAUAGAGGACAGGAGGUUUAUUAAUGGGCAGUUAUAGAGGACAGGAGGUUUAUUAAUGGGCAGUUAUAGAGGACAGGAGGUUUAUUCAUGGGC